rnacentral:rRNA from 1 species
UACGUAGGGGGCAAGCGUUGUUCGGAAUUACUGGGCGUAAAGGGUUCGUAGGUGGCCAACUAAGUCAGACGUGAAAUCCCUCAGCUUAACUGGGGAACUGCGUCUGAUACUGGUUGGCUUGAGUGCAGGAGAGGAAUGCGGAAUUCCAGGUGUAGCGGUGAAAUGCGUAGAUAUCUGGAGGAACACCGGUGGCGAAGGCGGCAUUCUGGACUGCAACUGACACUGAUGAACGAAAGCCAGGGGAGCAAACGGG